CCUACGGGAGGCAGCAGUAGGGAAUCUUGCGCAAUGGGCGAAAGCCUGACGCAGCAACGCCGCGUGAUCGAGACGCCCUUCGGGGUGUAAAGAUCUGUCAGUGGGGACGAAACUUGACGGUACCCACAGAGGAAGCACCGGCUAACUCCGUGCCAGCAGCCGCGGGAAUACGGGGGGUGCAAGCGUUGUCCGGAAUCAUUGGGCGUAAAGGGUUCGUAGGCGGCACGUAAAGUCUGGUGUUAAAGGCAGAGGCUCAACUUCAGUACGGCACUGGAUACUUGCGAGCUAGAAUGCGGUAGAGGUAAAGGGAAUUCCUGGUGUAGCGGUGAAAUGCUUAGAUAUCAGGAGGAACAUCGGUGGCGUAAGCGCUUUACUGGGCCGUAAUUGACGCUGAGGAACGAAAGCCAGGGUAGCAAAUGGGAUUAGAUACCCGGGUAGUC
rnacentral:rRNA from 1 species